UGCAAGUCGAACGAGAGAGAAGGAGCUUGCUUCUUCGAUCGAGUGGCGAACGGGUGAGUAACGCGUGAGGAACCUGCCUCAAAGAGGGGGACAACAGUUGGAAACGACUGCUAAUACCGCAUAAGCCCACGGAUCGGCAUUGAUCUGAGGGAAAAGGAGCAAUCCGCUUUGAGAUGGCCUCGCGUCCGAUUAGCUAGUUGGUGAGGUAAUGGCCCACCAAGGCGACGAUCGGUAGCCGGACUGAGAGGUUGAACGGCCACAUUGGGACUGAGACACGGCCCAGACUCCUACGGGAGGCAGCAGUGGGGAAUAUUGCACAAUGGGGGAAACCCUGAUGCAGCGACGCCGCGUGGAGGAAGAAGGUCUUCGGAUUGUAAACUCCUGUUGUUGAGGAAGAUAAUGACGGUACUCAACAAGGAAGUGACGGCUAACUACGUGCCAGCAGCCGCGGUAAAACGUAGGUCACAAGCGUUGUCCGGAAUUACUGGGUGUAAAGGGAGCGCAGGCGGGAAGACAAGUUGGAAGUGAAAUCUAUGGGCUCAACCCAUAAACUGCUUUCAAAACUGUUUUUCUUGAGUAGUGCAGAGGUAGGCGGAAUUCCCGGUGUAGCGGUGGAAUGCGUAGAUAUCGGGAGGAACACCAGUGGCGAAGGCGGCCUACUGGGCACCAACUGACGCUGAGGCUCGAAAGUGUGGGUAGCAAACAGGAUUAGAUACCCUGGUAGUCCACACCG
rnacentral:rRNA from 1 species